rnacentral:rRNA from 1 species
UACAGAGGGUGCAAACGUUGUUCGGAAUUACUGGGCGUAAAGCGAGUGUAGGCGGCUUGGCAAGUCGGAUGUGAAAGCCCCGGGCUCAACCCGGGAAGUGCACUCGAUACUGCUUAGCUUGAGUGUCGGAGAGGUUGGUGGAAUUAUCGGUGUAGAGGUGAAAUUCGUAGAUAUCGAGAGGAACAUCGGCGGCGAAGGCGGCCAACUGGACGAACACUGACGCUGAGACUCGAAAGCGUGGGGAGCGAACAGG